rnacentral:lncRNA from 1 species
CUACCGCAGCUCCCCGCGUGCCCCUCCCCUGGCUGGCCGCCCGCCGGCAAGGCCCAUCCACCGGCUACACAGAUCGGGUUGACCGACCCAAGGUUGAAGAUGAAGGCAGUUUUUCGUUUCGGCCCCCGAAGAAAGUCCUAAUAUUAUAACCAGUACAAGUUUAAGUUUUUAACGCAUUUAUGCCCUCGGUAAGGUAGUUUUUCAUUUCGGCCCCCGAAGAAAGUCCUAAUCUUAUAACCAGUACAAGUUUAAGUUUUUAACAUAUUUAUGCCCUCGGUUUUCGCAGUUAAGCUCCUAGAAGUUUUUAAAUCUCCUCAGCAAGUUCCUAGAGAUUUCUUAAGCCAUAUCUUUCGCAUUUUAGCUCUGUUUUGAGUGAUUCUUUUGCUCACGUGUUCGUAUUAACAUAUAGAUUAGUUUUGUAUCGCUGAUGUUUGGUGUACUGUUUCUUUUUUUAUUGUAUUGUUUUCUUUGCAUAUGUUUGUGUGAUGCGUAGAGAACGUGCCGUUCGAGGUUUUUCUUGAAGAUCAAGGCUUUGAAGACUCUGAGCAGCAGCAGGGCUUAAAGGAAGGCAAGUGUGUCCUUGUACUUUUGUCCUAAUGAUCUUAUUCAAUCACUAUUGCAUUUGCUUGUAUUUAAUUUGACGGGUCCUAUUAAGGUUUGUCUUGUUUUUAUGAUCAUUCCUUGUCAACCUGGGUUUAUCUUUCCGUUGGGUAGCUAUGCUUAGUUGCAAUAGCUUGGGUUAUGGUGGUUUAGUGAACAUGAAUAUAAACUUAUUUUAUUUAUGCUAUAGCUCUAGUUAAUUACAAGAAUACCAUGCAUUAAUUGGAACAUGGAGCAACCACCUAGGAAAACAGUGCAACCAAGAACUAAUGGGCUCUGAUCUUGGCUAAUUAAGUAGAGACUCUAGUCUAAGAUAACCUUACCGAAAUGGAAAAAGGGAAGGUGUUGAUGGGGUAUAACCCGACCCUUAGGCUGAUCUGCUCUAUGGUAGCUUCGCAGUCUUGAGAGAGGUUUAUGCUCUGCUUCGACCUGAAACUUUAGCGGGUUACCACUUACUAGGGAAUCUUUGUAAAGGCCUCAAAGCAUCCCUAUGCAAUCACACCUCGGUAGUGUGAUAAGUGCCUGGCCCGCAUAGUAUGGUUGGGUCUAAAGUUUUUCUAAAUUUUUACAUGACUUGUGGGUAAAGAUGUACAACCUCUGUCUAAAACUGAUCGAUCAGUCGUGCUCACGGUCAAGAGCGGCCUGAACUCUCAUAUGAUAAUUGAACUUGAAGAUGGACUUAAAUUAUGGUUAUGGUUAUGCUUUCACCAUAUGCUUAUGGCUCAUAUUUAUGUUAAUGUGGGUUGGUAUGUACUUAUACCUUAGUAUUCAGGUGCUAAUAAAAUUGACCAACUAAAAUUGCUUAUUGUAGUAAACCAGUAAGUCUCUCCUUGUUUAAGCCUUGCAUUCAUACGUUCCCCACACUUGCUGAGUAUGACAUGUGCUCACCCUUGCUAUAACCAACGUUGCUCAGAAGAAGAGGCUCCUAUGAAGUUGUUGUGAAGAUGGUGCUGAGAUCUAGGCGUACGCAACUUUCGGUCCAUUUCCUAUGAAGUUUGGAGCCUCCGUUUUGAGGAUUACACUGUAAAUCUCUUACAGACUCUCUUUCUUUUCGUGAUACCAUUGCUAUUAUUCACUUAUGAUGUCACUAUAUGAAUGAAAUUUGUAUGAAAUUAGAUCCUGAC